rnacentral:rRNA from 1 species
AUUGAACGCUGGCGGCAGGCCUAACACAUGCAAGUCGAACGGUAACAGGAAGCAGCUUGCUGCUUCGCUGACGAGUGGCGGACGGGUGAGUAAUGUCUGGGAAACUGCCUGAUGGAGGGGGAUAACUACUGGAAACGGUAGCUAAUACCGCAUAACGUCGCAAGACCAAAGAGGGGGACCUUAGGGCCUCUUGCCAUCGGAUGUGCCCAGAUGGGAUUAGCGAGUAGGUGGGGUAACGGCUCACCUAGGCGACGAUCCCUAGCUGGUCUGAGAGGAUGACCAGCCACACUGGAACUGAGACACGGUCCAGACUCCUACGGGAGGCAGCAGUGGGGAAUAGUGCACAAUGGGCGCAAGCCUGAUGCAGCCAUGCCGCGUGUAUGAAGAAGGCCUUCGGGUUGUAAAGUACUUUCAGCGGGGAGGAAGGGAGUAAAGUUAAUACCUUUGCUCAUUGACGUUACCCGCAGAAGAAGCACCGGCUAACUCCGU